GCGAAUAAACAUCUAUCUGUUCUACCGCCAGGUGACUCGAUCAUCAGCGUGAGUGAUGGAAAGAAAAUCGUCUGCUGCUCGAUGCCAUUUCAUUUCUUUGUCAUCGGUCAUGGCCUCAUGUUUGGUAAGUGGAAAUUGAAGUCGUGAUUUAUUCCCGCGUUCUUGGAAAGGUUGGAACGAAAAUAUUUUACCAACUUAGUUGAUGUGUACUCAUCAUACGUUUUCUAAUUGAUAAAUGUAUUCCAUUCCUGAUUGAGUAACUUAGAACAGGAUUUUUAUUGACUGGAGCUGAAUGCCUGAUCUCACGAUCAAUCAAUGGAGACUCCUUCUAUUUCUGAAAUGCUAUUUUCAAUGUAUCCUGUACAUCUAUACGAGUGUGAAUUUGUUCACGAUUCUCCUCCCCUUCACAGGUUGCAAAUUUGCAACUUAAACUGAAUAGAUUGACUUCAUUUCAAGGUGAUGCUGUAAGUUUUUUUUUAUUGGCUGCAGUUGCCUAUGUAUUCAUUCGUCUACAUUCGCAUGUAAGGCUACACCGAGUUGUCGAAAUCUUUUUGUAGAAGCCAACCAGUGAAGCGAUUGUGGUGCUGGAAAUU